ACUAAAUAGUGAUUACUUAAUGACUGAACAUUGAACCGAUUUGUUUUUUAAUGCUCUUUACCGAGUGUUUUUAACGAUCGGGCUGUUUACUUUGAAAAAAUUAGAGUGCUCAAAGCAGGCAUAUCGCCUAAAUAAUCUUGCAUGGAAUAAUGGAAUAUGAACUAGGUUCUAUUCUGUUGGUCUUUUGAACCUAAGUUAAUGAUUAAAAGGGACAGACGGGGGCAUUUGUACUGCGGCGCUAGAGGUGAAAUUCUUGGACCGUCGCAAGACAAACUACAGCGAAAGCAUUUGCCAAGAAUGUUUUCAUUAAUCAAGAACGAAAGUUAGAGGUUCGAAGGCGAUCAGAUACCGCCCUAGUUCUAACCAUAAACGAUGCCAACCAGCGAUCAGUCUGAGUACCUUUAUUGACUCGACUGGAAGCUUCCGGGAAACCAAAGUUUUUGGGUUCCGGGGGAAGUAUGGUUGCAAAGCUGAAACUUAAAGGAAUUGACGGAAGGGCACCACCAGGAGUGGAGCCUGCGGCUUAAUUUGACUCAACACGGGGAAACUCACCCGGCCCGGACACUGAAAGGAUAGACAGAUUAAGAGCUCUUUCUUGAUUCAGUGGGUGGUGGUGCAUGGUCGUUCUUAGUUGGUGGAGUAAUUUGUCUGGUUAAUUCCGAUAACGAACGAGAUUUUAACCUAUUAAAUAGAAUUUAGUUUCUUAAUUGUAACUAAACGUCUUCUUAGAGGAACAGGCGGCGUUUCAGCCGCACGAGAAAGAGCAAUAACAGGUCUGUGAUGCCCUUAGAUGUCCGGGGCUGCACGCGCGCUACAAUGAAGGCGUCAGCAUGCAUUAGUACCCUUCUCUGAGAAGAGUGGGUAACCAUUUGAAAAUCCUUCGUAACAGGGAUUGGGCAUUGUAAUUAUUGCCCAUGAACGAGGAAUUCCCAGUAAGCGUGAGUCAAAAACUUGCGUUGAUUACGUCCCUGCCCUUUGUACACACCGCCCGUCGCUACUACCGAUUGAAUG
rnacentral:rRNA from 1 species